rnacentral:lncRNA from 1 species
CAGGAUUCUUCAUUUAAACAUAAGAUUUUAGGGGGGAAAGUAAUGGGUUGAUAUAUUCAGUCAGUGUGUUGUGUUAACUAAAUAUGAGACAGACUCAGGUAACAAUAGGUAGUAAUAUCAGAGCUAGGAAAAAAAGAUUUUUCCUUCUGUAUUGGGAGCCUGGGCAUUCUGAAUUCUUGAAUCAAUAUGUAGGCAAUGAAAAGAUUUAUAUUUGAUAAUCUGGAAAAUUAAUUUGAAAGGCAGGAAUGAGGACCUGUAAAUAAUAGCCCAUAGUAAAAACAGCCUCAUGCCUAGUUCAAAGUUCUACCACAGUUUGGAUUUUGAAGGCUGCAUGACAUAACUUUCAUCAUGGCCGUUUUCUUUUUUCUUUUCUUUUUUUUCAUUUUUGGCCAUGUCCACAGCAUCAAACCCAUGUCACAGCAGUGGCAACACUGAAUCCUUAACCACUAGGCCACCAGAGAACUCCCCUUCUUAUAUUUUUACUUUACUGGAAAUCACUGCAAAUUGACCCAUGAAAGAAAUGCGAGGACUCUAGGCAUCCUUGGACAAUGAACAGAAUCUUCUAUGACUUGUUGAAUUGACAUUUUCUGGUUGGUUAAAUAUUGUCAGAGAUAAAUUUCCUCUUGGGAAAUUUUUUAAGAGAUCGGCUUUAAGUUGCUAGGAUUUUUAACCAUAAAAUCCCUAAAACUCAAAAUGCCUGAGUUAUUCUUGGGCCCAUAGUGCGGGUACGUUCAAAUUGCUCUUUAUUUGGGGUGAUAAUUUAGGAGUUACCAUAGUUUUACUUCCUGAUACCUAGAAAAUGCUGGGUAAGUGUAAUAAAUGGAUCAGGACAUCAAAUAAGUAACUGAGCAUAUGUUGCCAUUUAAAGUUCCUGCCAAUGGAAACAAAGAAUAUAACUCAUUUCUUUCCACUUGGAUUGUGUCUCUAAAAAAAAAAGCUACAGAUUUUCUUUCAGUCACUUAUCCAGAGUUUACUUGGAAUCUGCUGUGUGCUGGGCCUUGUGUUAGUAACCUCACCUACAAAGAUGGGUAAGACAGAGUCCUUGGCUCAGAGGGUUCAAGGCCAAUAAGCACCCAGAACUACUGUACUAAGGGCCAGGUGAGAAGUUUGCAGAAGACGCACCAGAGACGUUAAGAAAAGUGAUACUAUAUAAUUACACACUCAGAACUGCUUAUCAUUCUCCUCUAUAUUAUACAUGUAAUCCAAAAGUGUUUAAAAGAAUAGAGAAAAUUUGUUUCCCCUUAAAUAAUCUCUUCCUCAUUCUCCAAGUCUUCUGAGAAUUAUCAAAUGAACACCUCCCAGAUGAGAGAAACGAGGUAGAGUUUUCUUUUUCUUUUCUUGUCUUUUUGUCUUUUUAGGGCUGUACCUGCGGCAUGUGGAGGUUCCCGGGCUAGGGGUUUAAUCGGACCUGUUGCCGCUGGCCUACGCCACAGCCACAGCAGUGCGGGAUCUGAGCUGCAUCUGCGACCUACACCACAGCUCAGUGCAACACUGUGGAUCCCUAACCCACUGAGUGAGGUCAGGGAUCAAACCUUCGCCACGACGGGAACUCCAGAAUUUUCUUUAGGAUGUGCCCGUACAUGACUCUGUUUUGGAUAAAGAUGACUAGCUGUCUGACCAGGGGAGAGGAAGGCAGGAAGGCAGUCUGUGGGGUUCCCAGAGGGACCUAGGUCUUUCUGAGCUCUCUCCCUUCGCUGCUUCCCUCCACUCCAUGUUCUCCUGUCCCCCCCAGGUCUACCUGCCCCUCCCAUCCCCUAGAUGUAUUGCAUCUUUUUCUGCUCCCCCUUCAUGCUGCCCUGUGGGUUGGUGCUCCGUUCUAUCCUGUGCUGCUCGAUGGGGACCUGCCCAGUUCGACAACUCAACCUGUGCUAAAUUCUGAAUGCUGAAUGAGGCUCAGAGUCUGUCUCAGCCUUCUUCACAAGAGAGCAGAUGCGGGAAAGGACAGCAUCUGUGCAGGCAUCUUGGGGUAAGUGCCUAAGGUGAUCACCUGGGCUCCUGCCAUGUGGCCCCACUGGCCACUGGGAGCCUGCUGGGAUGAUGAUCAGUUGUAUCAGUGACCAUUUGUACCAGGCCUGAAGCCCAGCAUACAGACUGGGACUUCUGGUUUUCAUCCCUCCCUGGAACAUUCUGGCAUUUUAUUAGGAAAUCUCCAAUGCCCAGAGAUACAAGGAGAGGUAUCCUGCUUGGUAGUUCAGAUCUCUACAUUUUGACCAGCUUGAGCUGAAAAAUCUGGCUCUGUUCUAUGAGUGGAGUGACUUUGGGCUGUGUGCUUAACGUUUUUGUCCCUCAGUGCCCUCCUCGGAGGGUUGUAAGUUGGAGUGGAGUCUUUGAGUGAAGGUGCAUUAAACAGUCAGGGCAGGAUUUCCAGGCAGUGUGUGUCCCAUCAAGCCAUCUUGCUGUUGUUUGUGGAUAUUUUAGACAGCAGCAAGGCCGCUGGAUGAGAGACUAAAUAAGUGAGAAAAAUAUUUUACAUAAAUCUCUUAUCUCAAAGCAAAUAACUCAUGUGCUUCCUUGCAUCUAUGCAUAAAUGAAUAUAUAAAUAUGUGUAUAAAUACAUAUAUAUACACACACCUACACCCUUGUUCUUUGGUGUCCGUAGGGGGAUUGGUUCCAAGACCCCCCAAAUCCACAGGCGCUCAAGUCUCAUAUAAAAUGGUAUGGUAUUUUUCAUCCAACCUAGACACAUACUCCUGUAUAGUUUAAAUCAUCUCAGGAUUACUUAUAAUACCUGAUAUAAUGUAAAUUGGGUUAGGGAUUGGGAUGUCACUUCUGUUUUCUCACCUUUGUUCCCCAGUUCACCCUUCCUUGUGUUUUCAACUUGGCUGAGAUGUGAUGUCCUCUUGAGAUCCCUGCUUUUACUCCAUUUAUCUUCUCAGGGAGAGAGGCAGGCAGUAAACAGGUCAACAAAUAAAUGGGAUAAUUGAGAAUCAUGAUGGGAUGGCGAUGACAAAGCAUGCUGCAUGGAAUUCCUAGGAGGUAAUUUGCUGGCAGGGAACUGAAGGACGGGAGGUCUCUGCAGGGUCUUUCUGCUGAGGGAUCCUCAGAUGCAAAUCAGAGGAAGAACUCGGUUCUUCGUUUUUAGGGAUCAGAAAGGAGGCUAGUGCUAUUGGAGCUGGGUGAGCACAGUCAAGGUGGUGGUAGAGGAGGUCAGAAACUCAGGCCAAUCCUUAUAAAAGAUUUCCUGGUCCUCCUUGCCCCUAGAUGCUGGAGACCAUGUACAUUGGAACCUGAUCACUAAAACCUUGCUGGUAGAAUCUCAGAAUCUCAUUUACCCAAAGUUAAAAGUACCCUAACUUCCCCACCCCAUCGUUCAGCCACAGCUUCUUGUCCACUGUGACUUGACAUCCUUCAUCACCUCAUGCAAUUCCUGGCACAAAGUAAGGGCUUGAUAGAUAUUACCAGGAUAUUCACAUGAAUGAGUUGAAUACUGGAUACCCUGGGGAAAACGAGCUGUUGUUUUAAGAAGACAUUGCAGGAGUUCUCUGGUGGCUCAGUGGGUUAAGGAUCGGGGAUAUCACUUCUGUGGCCCAGGUCACGGCUGUGGUGCGGGUUCCAUCCCUGGCUCGGAACUUCUGCAUGCCAGUGGGCACAGCCAAAAACAAAAAGCAAAAAAACACUGCACUUCUUUAUGCACAAAGGUUACCUUCCUUCUCUGAACAGAGCUCUGCUGUCUCCUUGGCCCCACCCACUUGUUCUGUGUUUCUUUGGAGAAUUUUUGAAUUCCAUUUAGCACUGAGUAAAAUGUCUCCCCCCCGCCCCCGCUAAUUAUAAUCAUACUAGCAGUGAACUAAACAGUUGGGGGUGAAAGAAAUUCUGAUGAUGUUAAAAAUGCAAAUAGUUUUCACACCAGAUUAAUUCAUUUAACUAAGAGUCCUGAUCUUUAAACAUUAAACGUUUGAGUGUGAAACGUUUUAUUCACAGGGGAGAAAGUCCACGGUGAAGCUGAUCUGAAGCUCAUUCCUCUAUCAGGAGUGAUGUGAAGAUAAACAGGAUGCAUAUUGUUACCUAGCUAUGAACUAACAAGUUGUGAGUUCUUUACAACAUUUCAGGAUGUGAUUUACAUGAUUCAAGAUUAGCAGGUCUGGGGAACUCUGGGGCUGUUUGAGAUUAGAAGAAGCCAAGUCAUAUAAGGAUCUGAGCGGAUGUUUGUGUUAUCUGCAUGUUUGACUAAUAUUUGAAUUAAAUGUUUUAUAUUUAAUCAAAGCAAAAUUGAAAGUCAUUAUGACUGCUGAUACGCAAUACUAAUUACAGGAAAUAACCAGCCCUUCCAUGUUCAGUGCAAAAUGCUGAUGGUGGAGCAGUCUCUUCUCUGGAGGGGGAAAUCAUAGGUCUCAGAUCUGGAAGAGAAUUUAGUUCGCUGUGUUUCAGCUAUUUUAAACCCAGACUCUCUCUUAAAAAAAAAAAAAAAAAUCCCAGGAGUUCCCAUUGUGCCUCAGUGUUAAUGAACCUGGCUAGUAUCCAUGAGGACGCAGGUUUGAUCCCUGCCUUCACUCAGUGGGUUAAGGAUCCAGUGUUGCUGUGAGCUGUGGUGAAGCUCACAGCUGCGGCUAGGAUCUGGCAUUGCUGUGGCUAUGGUGUAGGCCGGGAGCUAUAGCUCUGAUUAGACCCCUAGCCUGGGAGCUUCCACAUGCUGCGGGUGUGGCCCCAAAAA